ACCCCGAUAGCUCAAUUGGUUAGAGCGUGGAGCUGAAAAUUCCAAGGCAGAAGUUCGAAACUUCUUUGGGGUGU
rnacentral:tRNA from 1 species